rnacentral:piRNA from 1 species
UGGCCACGCCUGUUAAGAACACAUCCUC